rnacentral:rRNA from 1 species
CACGUAGGGCGCAAGCGUUGUCCGGAAUUAUUGGGCGUAAAGAGCUCGUAGGCGGUCUGUCGCGUCUGCUGUGAAAAUCCGGGGCUCAACCCCGGACUUGCAGUGGGUACGGGCAGACUAGAGUGUGGUAGGGGAGACUGGAAUUCCUGGUGUAGCGGUGAAAUGCGCAGAUAUCAGGAGGAACACCGAUGGCGAAGGCAGAUCUCUGGGCCGUAACUGACGCUGGAGGAGCGAAAGCAUGGGGAGCGAACAGG